GAUGCAAGCAGUUUUUCUAUUUCUGCUCUUGGUUUGGAUUGAUCUCACUAUGAAGCAGUGAGAUCAAUCCAAACCAAGAGCAGAAAUAGAAAAAAACUGCUUGCAU